rnacentral:rRNA from 1 species
UAGGGAAUCUUCGGCAAUGGGGGCAACCCUGACCGAGCAACGCCGCGUGAGUGAAGAAGGUUUUCGGAUCGUAAAGCUCUGUUGUAAGAGAAGAACGUGUGUGAGAGUGGAAAGUUCACACAGUGACGGUAACUUACCAGAAAGGGACGGCUAACUACGUGCCAGCAGCCGCGGUAAUACGUAGCUCCCGAGCGUUGUCCGGAUUUAUUGGGCGUAAAGCGAGCGCAGGCGGUUUAAUAAGUCUGAAGUUAAAGGCAGUGGCUUAACCAUUGUUCGCUUUGGAAACUGUUAAACUUGAGUGCAGAAGGGGAGAGUGGAAUUCCAUGUGUAGCGGUGAAAUGCGUAGAUAUAUGGAGGAACACCGGUGGCGAAAGCGGCUCUCUGGUCUGUAACUGACGCUGAGGCUCGAAAGCGUGGGGAGCAAACAGG